rnacentral:rRNA from 1 species
UACGAAGGGGGCGAGCGUUGUUCGGAAUUACUGGGCGUAAAGGGCGCGUAGGCGGCCGAUCAAGUUAGAUGUGAAAGUCCUGGGCUUAACCUGGGGACUGCAUUUGAUACUGAUUGGCUUGAAUUCGGGAGAGGAUAGCGGAAUUCCCAGUGUAGAGGUGAAAUUCGUAGAUAUUGGGAAGAACACCGGUGGCGAAGGCGGCUAUCUGGACCGACAUUGACACUGAGGAGCGAAAGCCAGGGGAGCAAACGGG